GCAUAUCAAUAAGCGGAGGAAAAGAAACCAACAGGGAUUGCCCUAGUAACGGCGAGUGAAGCGGCAACAGCUCAAAUUUGAAAUCUGGCUCUUUCAGAGUCCGAGUUGUAAUUUGCAGAGGGCGCUUUGGCUUUGGCAGCGGUCCAAGUUCCUUGGAACAGGACGUCACAGAGGGUGAGAAUCCCGUACGUGGUCGCUAGCUAUUGCCGUGUAAAGCCCCUUCGACGAGUCGAGUUGUUUGGGAAUGCAGCUCUAAAUGGGAGGUAAAUUUCUUCUAAAGCUAAAUAUUGGCCAGAGACCGAUAGCGCACAAGUAGAGUGAUCGAAAGAUGAAAAGCACUUUGGAAAGAGAGUCAAACAGCACGUGAAAUUGUUGAAAGGGAAGCGCUUGCAGCCAGACUUGCUUGCAGUUGCUCAUCCGGGCUUUUGCCCGGUGCACUCUUCUGCAGGCAGGCCAGCAUCAGUUUGGGCGGUGGGAUAAAGGUCUCUGACACGUUCCUUCCUUCGGGUUGGCCAUAUAGGGGAGACGUCAUACCACCAGCCUGGACUGAGGUCCGCGCAUCUGCUAGGAUGCUGGCGUAAUGGCUGUAAGCGGCCCGUCUUGAAAACACGGACC
rnacentral:rRNA from 1 species